UUAGUCACCUUCACUGAUUAUACAAAUAAACUUUCAUUUGGAUCAAUGGUUGUAUUAAAUUGUGUAUGAAUCUUGUAAAAUACUUAUGAUAUCAGUUACAAAAAAAAAAAAAAAACUUAUGAUAUCAAUAUAUAUUCUGAUUUUGUCGAAAAAAUAAACUUUCAUUAAAUCAGUCAUCAUAUGUAUGCAUUAGAUAGCAUAUAACUUGCAUGUGGUCUAGAAUAUCGAUCAUCAUUUUCCAUACGUGGCAUAGUAGGACCCCACGCUAUCAAAAGCCUAUAAGUUAUUUACACACCCCACC
rnacentral:lncRNA from 1 species